rnacentral:rRNA from 1 species
GAUGAACGCUAGCGGCAGGCCUAAUACAUGCAAGUCGAACGGUGUCUUCGGACAUAGUGGCGCACGGGUGCGUAACACGUAUGCAACCUACCUUACAUUGGGGGAUAGCCUUUCGAAAGGGAGAUUAAUACCGCAUAAGACAGUAGUCUGGCAUCAGACAGCUGUUAAAGAUUUAUCGAUGUAAGAUGGGCAUGCGUCCAAUUAGUUAGUUGGCGAGGUAACGGCUCACCAAGACUAUGAUUGGUAGGGGAACUGAGAGGUCAAUCCCCCACACUGGCACUGAGAUACGGGCCAGACUCCUACGGGAGGCAGCAGUAGGGAAUAUUGGGCAAUGGACGCAAGUCUGACCCAGCCAUGCCGCGUGCAGGAAGAAGGCGUUAUGCGUUGUAAACUGCUUUUAUACAGGAAGAAACGACUCUUGCGAGAGGCAUUGACGGUACUGUAUGAAUAAGCACCGGCUAACUCCGUGCCAGCCGCCGCGGUAAAAC